AUUAAAUCAGAACAUUUAAAAUACUUAUUCCGCAAACAUGCUUUACUAUCAUCGCUAACUAUGAAAAUAAGUUUUGUAUAUUCCACUCACAGUGACGGUGUUCACGGUCGGUUAUCGUCCACGUCCGCGGACCGGUUCUCGCUCGUGGAUCCUCCUAAAUCAAGGAAACGACAUAAUUACUUUUCAUAAAUCAAAAUUACGACUAAAUAUAUGCAAUAAACUCGAAACGAACAUUUAUCCAUAAUUUACAACUCCUAUGUCGAUAAAAUUACUAAAAUGCCCUUGAGUCCGUAAAACAUUAACAUGCUCUGAAAUCGUAAAUCGCUGAAUUACCCUCGGAAUCGUAAUUACACCCAAUUCUCAAUUCUAGGAAUUACUAAAAUAUCCACAGGCUCAGAAAUGACAAAAUUGCCCUCAUAGUGUGAAAUUACCAAAAUGCCCUUGCCGGUCAACAGUCAGCGGAAUUUGGUCAACAUUGGCCAGGAAGCUCAAAUCUUAAAGUGCCAAUCACGUUGAGUUCAAUGGUACCGGCGGUGAGCUCCAACGCGCGGCAACGACGCCGGAAUCUAGCUCGGCAGCCGUGAAUUCCAACAAU
rnacentral:lncRNA from 1 species